GAAGGAAAAAAUGCAUGAAGGGUAGUUUACUAGUUUUGUAAUUUUGCAUGGAUGAAGACAAAAAAAAAGAGUGCACUCGAACAAAAGAGGAGUGUGAAAAUCAAUUUUAAAAAAAAGAAGAAGAAUAGUGGAGUACAAUUCACCCCAACCCCUAUAAAUAGAAGCCCAAGGCACAUAUUCUAAAACAUGGAAGGAGAGCAUCAUAAAGCAUAUGGCAUUUAUAUACAAGAAGGGAGAAGAUUACCAAGCAAGAAUACCAUGGUGGAAACAUUUCAGGGUAUGAAGGUUAAAGAACGCGUGGAAUACUCAUUUGAGCAAGAAAACAAACUUAAAUAGUGAUUUAGAAGAAGGACGAGGUUAGAUGGUCUUAGGGCCUCGACCUCGGACCUUCACCAUGGCUAGGUCAUGGCCAUUAAACACUUGUUGGUUCUUAGGGCCUCGACAUCGAACCUUCGCCAUGUUCAGAUCCGUGAAAAUACUAGCUGAUGUCUGAUCCAAUUACUUAGAUGCUAGCUAAGUUUUUGUGAUGUAUGCUGAUCUAAGUGUAUGCAUGUGUACGGAACUUAAUAAAUAUGCUCAAGUUUGAUCUAAAA